rnacentral:rRNA from 1 species
GGGGACCACAGUACGCCGAGACGUCACAGCGUCAUCCCACACUUUUUCAAUCGCGCCAGUUCACGGCUGACCGUGCCCAUCUAGGUGUGCAGCAUCCGUGCGGUUUCUGUUAGAUUUCCCCUUUUAAUCACCGCAUGAAGAAUUUCAAUGUGGCGUAAGUUAACGGCGGGCAUAAGGCACCUGUUUAUAACGAUUAUCCAUAUCAUUUUUGCAUAGACUCGCGAUAACGACAUCUUCCUGAACGACAUCUUCCUGACCAUGUCUAACAAAAUUAUCCGCGCACACUGGCACAGAGGCGACUCCCACACUCCCACGACUUCCACUAGUGGGCAAUUUAGGAAAUCCUCCCCAACGCUCAUCUGCCCGUGCCACGAACGCCUCGAAAGCCUUCGGGUUUUCAGGCUCCCACAACCCCGAAGGUUAACGUAUUUUUUUUUUUUUUUUUUUUUUUUUUCCCCCUUCCUUUUUCCCCCCUUUUUUUUUUUUUUUCCCCCCCCCCCCUCCCCGCCGGCCCCCCGGGGGGUUGGGUUU